GAUAAACGCUGGCGGCGUGCUUCAGGCAUGCAAGUCGAACGAGCGACCUCAGCUUGCUGAGGAAGCUAGUGGCGGACGGGUGAGUAACACGUAAGCAACCUGCCCAAAAGUGGGGAAUAACCCACCGAAAGGUGAGCUAAUACCGCAUGUGAUGAUUCUUCCCUGGAAGACUCAUUAAAGGAUUUAUUCGCUUUUGGAGGGGCUUGCGGCCGAUUAGCUAGUUGGAGGGGUAAUGGCCUACCAAGGCGACGAUCGGUAGCUGGUCUGAGAGGACGGACAGCCACACGGGGACUGAGAUACGGCCCCGACUCCUACGGGAGGCAGCAGCUAGGAAUCUUGGGAAUGGGCGAAAGCCUGACCCAGCAACGCCGCGUGGGCGAUGAAGGCCUUCGGGUCGUAAAGCCCUUUUGCAGGGGACGAUAAUGACGGUACCCUGCGAAUAAGCCACGGCUAACUACGUGCCAGCCGCCGCAGUAACAC
rnacentral:rRNA from 1 species